rnacentral:rRNA from 1 species
GAUGAACGCUGGCGGCGUGCCUAAUACAUGCAAGUCGAGCGAACGGACGAGAAGCUUGCUUCUCUGAUGUUAGCGGCGGACGGGUGAGUAACACGUGGAUAACCUACCUAUAAGACUGGGAUAACUUCGGGAAACCGGAGCUAAUACCGGAUAAUAUUUUGAACCGCAUGAUUCAAAAGUGAAAGACGGUCUUGCUGUCACUUAUAGAUGGAUCCGCGCUGCAUUAGCUAGUUGGUAAGGUAACGGCUUACCAAGGCAACGAUGCAUAGCCGACCUGAGAGGGUGAUCGGCCACACUGGAACUGAGACACGGUCCAGACUCCUACGGGAGGCAGCAGUAGGGAAUCUUCCGCAAUGGGCGGAAGCCUGACGGAGCAACGCCGCGUGAGUGAUGAAGGUCUUCGGAUCGUAAAACUCUGUUAUUAGGGAAGAACAUAUGUGUAAGUAACUGUGCACAUCUUGACGGUACCUAAUCAGAAAGCCACGGCUAACUACGUG